CUUCGUUGGAGGAGGUGGACACCUGUCUUGGAAUCUUGGCUGACCAGCUCUCCUCCCUGCGCCCGGGACUGGACUGCGCUAGGACGUGGAGGCCUCCACCCGGAUUGCGAGCUUUACUCGCAGUGUGGAAGGUGUUGCCCAUUUCAUCUCCACAGCUUUGCCGACCCUGAUCGCUCGUUUCGGUGGCCUGGUGGGUUCACCCCAGGCUGAGCCAGCGCCUACGCACCUCUGAGCAGAGCCUUUGUGGUAGUUAACAACGAACGAUAUACAAUAACUCCGUUUAGUGAGCGCAGACUAUGCGAGAAACGCUACACACACUAUCUUAUUUAAG
rnacentral:lncRNA from 1 species